AUGCAUCUGACAGACAUGCAGCAGUUACUGUCUGCUGCUUCAGUUUCCAGUAGAGAUGCAAGAAAAAAAAAGUGGCCUCACACUUUAUUUCUGAUUGUGGCAGCCAAGAUUGAAUGGGGGAAUUCAGGA
ensembl:snoRNA